GGCGGGAGGGAAGGAGGGACGGCACCCGCCCUCAGCGGGGACAGCCCCGCCGGGAGCCCGUGGUGGCUGGGUGCUCCCUGAGGAGAGCGAGGGUUCCCUUCAGGUACUGAAAGGAUGCAACUAGGUCACCUCAAAGCUUUCUCUUUUCCCUUCUGAACGAUCCCAACUCUCUCAUCCUUUCAUCACAGCAGAAGUGCUCCAUCCCUCUGAUCAUCCUGGUGCUUUCUCUGGACUCGCUCCAACAGGUCCGUGUCCUUCCUGUGCUGGGACCCCAGAGCUGGAGGCAGGUCGGGUCUCACCGGGGCAGAAUCCUCCCCUGUGCUGCUGCCCACGCUUAUUUUGAUACAUGCUUCACUCACACCUGUCAGCAUCCGGCAGACACUGAAACCUGUCAAACUCCUCACCCACAACUGAAGGACAAUGGAAGCAGCCUAUAAAACAUGGGGCUCUUUAGAAAAACGACUUAAGUUUGCCUUCAGAUUUUGUACCCUGGUCUGGCCAAGUGGUAGAUUGUGUUUACUUGUAGACAGUGGUUUGGUGUGGUUAAACAAAUAUUUAAAAAGUAAGUAUCUAUGCUUAAUUAAAUCACCAUUGUUUAUGUUUAAAUAAAAUAUGUUUAAGUUAUGA